rnacentral:rRNA from 1 species
UAGGGAAUCUUCCACAAUGGACGCAAGUCUGAUGGAGCAACGCCGCGUGAGUGAAGAAGGUUUUCGGACCGUAAAGCUCUGUUGUUGGUGAAGAAGGAUAGAGGUAGUAACUGGCCUUUAUUUGACGGUAAUCAACCAGAAAGUCACGGCUAACUACGUGCCAGCAGCCGCGGUAAUCGUAGGUGGCAAGCGUUGUCCGGAUUUAUUGGGCGUAAAGCGAGCGCAGGCGGAAGAAUAAGUCUGAUGUGAAAGCCCUCGGCUUAACCGAGGAAUUGCAUCGGAAACUGUUUUUCUUGAGUGCAGAAGAGGAGAGUAGAACUCCAUGUGUAGCGGUGGAAUGCGUAGAUAUAUGGAAGAAUACCAGUGGCGAAGGCGGCUCUCUGGUCUGCAACUGACGCUGAGGCUCGAAAGCAUGGGUAGCGAACAGGAUUAGAUACCCUGGUGGUCCAUGCCGUAAACGAUGAGUGCUAAGUGUUGGGAGGCUUCCGCCUCUCAGUGCUGCAGCUAACGCAUUAAGCACUCCGCCUGGGGGAGUACGACCGCAAGGUUGAAAC